rnacentral:lncRNA from 1 species
GAGAAUGGGAAUUCGAGACAUAACCAUUUAAGAUAAAUAAUACUAGUCAUAUAUAUAUACACUGCUCUAAGAGAGUCCAUAUAAACAAAUGGUGAAAGAAAAGUUACCCCCAAAGUGGAGAUUUGUAGAAAUUACUCUUACAAAUCAUGGUGGAAAAUAAAAACAAGUAGGAAUAGGCUCGUAGGAACAAAACCAUUGUUUCCUUAGGACAGCCUUAUAUCGGAGCCACUUAAAGGGAAGGAAUCAGGAAACCAGCCUUCACAGUAGGAGAGGAGUCUCUUUCUCUGUCUUUACUAAGUUUGUCUCAUCUCUAGCACCAGACACAGCUAAUAAGGCCUGUCUGGUGGUCACAAAUCUUAUUUCAGUUUCAACAUGCAUUUCUUGGGCCUAUGAAUAGUUAGAUGAUAUCUUCUUGUUAAUUUUAACUGAAACUAAUUUUUAUGGAUGAUUAUUUUUUAUCACAAAUCUGUCCUGUCCAAGGAAGAUACUCUCUCUCAAGAUUGCUGUCAGUAUUUCAUGUCACCUUUGAAUGCUUACACCACAGAAGACAAAUGUUGACUCUGAUACCAAAUUCUAUCUAUUAAAACAAACAAACAAACAAAAAGAAAGAAAGAAAAAGCAGUCUCAGCCAUUGUAGUGCUAUUUGGUGUCUCAUUCUUCAAAGCACUUGUGCUGGGUGUGUGAGAUUAUGACUGGCUCAUCUGUGACUAGACUCUGUUCAAACAACUUUCAUGGACAUGUGCCACCUAUUUUACUAAUAUUUGCCCUUAGUCAUCACCAGUGAAAUAGAGCAUGCCUCUAUACCACAGCCAACCAAUCAACCAAGAAUAGGACUCUCUCCUUAAUGCUGUGGCUUAUAAACAUACAGUUAUAAUUAGCAUGCAUUUCUUUUUGCUUGUGAUUCUUCUAUUUAGUAAAGAUAGCAUUGCAGGAGGUAAAGAGAGAAUGUGUAUACAAUCAAAUUCUGUGUCAAGAGGUUUGCUUUUAUACUUUAUAGAUACAUUAGAAAGUAUAUAAAUCUGCUUACCAUAUAAUUGAUGUAUUGGAGACAUGUGGGUGAGCAUGAUCUUUUAAUUAUCUUUGCUAUUUGCUUAUGUGAGUAAAUUCUAAAAAUGUUAAUUUGUAAUUAAUUUCUAACACAUUGUUGGGCAACAGUGAAUAGGGUUUUGGUUUUAUUUUGUUGUUGUUGUUGUUUUUGUUGUUGUUGUUUGGUUUGGUUUAGUCUUUUGUAAAUUACCCAAAGGCUUAGAUUACUGUAUGGUCUGUUUGUGUCUUACUGGUUAGUUUUAGAAGUUACUUAUUUCUUAUUCCUCUUUACUUUCUCCCUAAGUUGGUUUCAAUUCAAGAAUCCACAGAAACCACUUACGUGACCGUGCUUGAUUUUUAUGUCAUCUGUAUUUUCUGAACCAUGUCUUCUUCUGUCACCUUUGCAUGAGUCUUAUGCUUUCUUUCAUAUUCCCUACUAAUAUUGUCUACUAACACAGACCCAUGUAGAGUUUCUCCUUUGAAGUCAUCAUUUUCCCAAGGGCAUGCCUCUUCACAUCCCUCCCACCAUCACUAGUAUAGAACAGUUAUCACCCAUCUGCCUGCCCCAUGCUUUUCACCCAUGGUUCUUCAGGCCUCAAGUAGCAUUUCUUAGAGUUUCCCGGGUCAACUAUCAGUUCUGAAGAUGCCAUAUUAGGGAGGUUUCUUGUUACAUAGGGUGCUAAGUUUGGGAGAGUUUUUAUUUAUUAUGAUAUGAGAGGUACUCAAAUGAGAGGAUAAAUAGACAUUUGUAUAGUAUUUGGUAUUGUGCAACUGUAAAAGCCCUUCACUGGAUGAAUGUUGUGUAACCCUCAUUUCCUAAACUUGUUUUCUUAAGAAACAUUUUUGGAGCCGGGUGUGGCGGCGCAUGCCUUUUAUCCCAGCACUUGGGAGGCAGAGGCAGGCGGAUUUCUGAGUUCGAGGCCAGCCUGGUCUACAGAGUGAGUUCCAGGACAGCCAGGGCUAUACAGAGAAAUCCUGUCUCGAAAAACUAAAAACCAAAAACUGAAAAAAAGAAAAGAAAACAUGAAAGGAAAGG